rnacentral:rRNA from 1 species
GAGUUUGAUCGUGGCUCAGGAUGAACGCUAGCGGCAGGCUUAACACAUGCAAGUCGAGGGGCAGCAUGGUCUAGCAAUAGACUGAUGGCGACCGGCAAACGGGUGCGGAACACGUACAGAAUCUACCUUUAUCUGGGGGAUAGCCCGAAGAGAUUCGGAUUAACACCCCAUAAGAUCUUAGGAUGGCAUCAUCUAUAGAUUAAAACUCCGGUGGAUAGAGAUGACUGUGCGUCCCAUUAGCUAGUUGGUAGGGUAAAGGCCUACCAAGGCGACGAUGGGUAGCUGGUGUGAGAGCACGACCAGCCACACGGGCACUGAGACACGGGCCCGACUCCUACGGGAGGCAGCAGUGAGGAAUAUUGGUCAAUGGACGCAAGUCUGAACCAGCCAUGCCGCGUGAAGGACGAAGGCGUUCUGCGUUGUAAACUUCUUUUAUCUGGGAAGAAACCUACGAUUUCUAUUGUAGCCGACGGUACCAGAGGAAUAAGCACCGGCUAACUCCGUG